rnacentral:rRNA from 1 species
AAUAGAUACCCCGGUAGUCCACGCCCUAAACGAUGUCGACUGGGUGUUGGGGAAGCGAUUUCCCAGUACCGUAGCUAACGCGUGAAGUCGACCGCCUGGGGAGUACGGCCGCAAGGUUAAAACUCAAAGGAAUUGACGGGGACCCGCACAAGCGGUGGAUGAUGUGGAUUAAUUCGAUGCAACGCGAACAACCUUACCUACCCUUGACAUGUCCGGAAGCCCGGUGAGAGCUGGGGGUGCCCGAAAGGGAACCGGAACACAGGUGCUGCAUGGCUGUCGUCAGCUCGUGUCGUGAGAUGUUGGGUUAAGUCCCGCAACGAGCGCAACCCUUGUCCCUAGUUGCUACGCAAGGGCACUCUAGGGAGACUGGCCGGUGACAAACCGGAGGAAGGUGGGGAUGACGUCAAGUCCUCAUGGCCCUUAUGGGUAGGGCUUCACACGUCAUACAAUGGCCGGUACAGAGGGUUGCCAAGCCGCGAGGCGGAGCCAAUCCCCGCAAAAGCCGGUCGUAGUCCGGAUUGCAGUCUGCAACUCGACUGCAUGAAGUCGG